GUUGGCUUGGAAGCAGCCAUUCAUUUAAAGAGUGCGUAACAGCUCACUAGUCGAGGAGUCUGGCGUGGAUAAUAAUCGGGUAUUAAGUUGUCUACCGAAGCAGUGGGAUCAUUGAAAUGAUCGGUAGGGGAGCAUUCCAGUCAGCGUCGAAGGCGUACCGCGAGGUAUUCUGGAGCGUCUGGAAAAGCAAAUGUAGGUAUAAGUAACGAUAAAGGGGGCGGGAAACCCCCUCGCCGAAAGACUAAGGUUUCCUGAUCAACGCUAAUCGGAUCAGGGUAAGUCGGGUCCUAAGGCUCAGCCGAAGGGCGAUGCCGAUGGCAGAAACGGUUAAUAUUCCGUUACUACCUCCAGGAGUGAUGUGGAGACGCAGUAGUGACAAUGCCGCCAUCUGACGGAAUAGAUGGUUGAAGGGUGUAGAUGUUGAUCUUGGCAGGCAAAUCCACCAUGAGAAUCGAACCUGAUAGUAUGCCGCGUCCCUCGGGACAAGGCAAUAGUGCAUGUAAUCAUGCUGCCAAGAAAAUCCGCUAAACUAAAUCCUGUAGGUACCCGUACCGUAAACGGACACACGUAGUCGGGAUGAAUAUUCUAAGGCGCUUGAGUGAUUCACGGUUAAGGAACUAGGCAAACUGACCCUGUAACUUCGGGAUAAAGGGUCCCUACCCGGUGACGGGAGGGCGCAGAGAAUAGGUCCAGGCAACUGUUUAACAAAAACACAGGGCUGUGCGAAAUCGAAAGAUCCUGUAUACAGCCUGACACCUGCCCGGUGCUGGAAGGUUAAGAGGAGACGUCAUCGUUGAGAGAAGCGUUGAAUUGAAGCCCCAGUAAACGGCGGCCGUAACUAUAACGGUCCUAAGGUAGCGAAAUUCCUUGUCGGGUAAGUUCCGACCUGCACGAAUGGUGUAAUGAUCUGGACGCUGUCUCAACCGUGAGCUCAGUGAAAUUGUAGUAUCGGUGAAGAUGCCGAUUACCCGCGAUGGGACGAAAAGACCCCGUGAACCUUUACUAUAGCUUAUCAUUGAAUCUGGGCACGUGAUGUGUAGGAUAGGUCGGAGGCUUUGAAGGGGGUACGCCAGUAUCCUUGGAGCCGCUGUUGAAAUACGACCCUUCAUUUGUUUGGAUUCUAACCCGUGUAUAUGGGGACACUGAUUGGUGGGUAGUUUGACUGGGGUGGUCGCCUCCAAAAGCGUAACGGAGGCUUCUAAAGGUGCCCUCACGGCGAUUGGUAACCGCCGUUAGAGUGUAAUGGCAUAAGGGCGCUUGACUGGGAGACUGACAAGUCGAUCAGGUAGGAAACUAGAGCAUAGUGAUCCGGUGUUUCCGUAUGGAAGGGACAUCGCUCAAAGGAUAAAAGGUACUCCGGGGAUAACAGGCUGAUCCCUCCCA
rnacentral:rRNA from 1 species